UCUUUGGAGGGGUUACUAUGUGUUGGGAGUUACGGAAGGUGACAGUGAGCAGGCCUAUACAGAGGGUAACAUGGGGUUCAAGGACAGGAACAGGGUUCACCCAGAUGAAGAAAAUGAGCUGAGCCUCAAUAGAUAAAAAUGGAGUUGGGUAAGAGGAGAGCGUUCUAGACAGAGGAGAAAGGAUUUUAUAAAGGGUUGGUAAGGAAACUGGAGAUGAUUUAAGAUACACUGGAGGAUGCGUGUAGUUUAUACACGCAAACGCUGACACAUUUUUCACGCCCCUUAAGAGGCGUGAGCAUCUGUUGACUUUGGUACCUGAGGGAAGUCCUGGGACUCAUCCCCCACGGACACUAGUGGACAACUGUGCUCCAGGAUUGCUGAGAAGGGCAACAAUAGUUUACAAAGACAAGAUUUACAAAAGACAAACAGGGAUGCUUGGUGGAGCAUUUUGAACAGUAACAACACGAAACCCAGAGGGAGAGAGAACGAAGACACAAGACCUAGGCUCCUGUCCAGGAAAACAACUAGAUAGAAAGAAACUCAGGAAGCCCAACAUUUGGCUGAGCACACUGGAGACAGAAGAGCCCCUCUCUACUCCAAACUCCGGAGAAACACCAAGAGAAACCAGAGGGAAGAAUAGAGCAGCCAAAUGCUACUCGGCUGCCCACUUGUGACACACUAACAGAAAAAUAAAGUAAAGGUUAUUUAUUGAGUAGCCGAUGAAAAGCA